UACGUAGGUGACCAGCGUUGUCCGGAUUUACUGGGCGUAAAGAGCGCGCAGGCGGUCGUUCAAGUCGAGUGUGAAAGCCCCCGGCUCAACUGGGGAGGGUUACUUGAUACUGAUCGACUCGAAGGCAGGAGAGGGAAGCGGAAUUCCCGGUGUAGUGGUGAAAUGCGUAGAUAUCGGGAGGAACACCAGUGGCGAAGGCGGCUUCCUGGCCUGUUCUUGACGCUGAGGUGCGAAAGCGUGGGGAGCAAACAGG
rnacentral:rRNA from 1 species